rnacentral:rRNA from 1 species
GAUGAACGCUGGCGGCGUGCCUAAUACAUGCAAGUCGAGCGAACAGACGAGGAGCUUUCUCCUCUGCGGUUAGCGACGGACGGGCGAGUAACACGUAGAUAGGCUACCUCUUAUACUGGGGUAACUUCGUGGAAACGCAGCCGAUACCAGCUAAUAUAUUCAACCGGAUGGUUCAAUAGUGCAUGACGCCUUUCCUGUCUCUUAUAGCUGGAUCCGCGCCGCAUUAUCUGGUGGGUAAGGUAACGGCUUACCAAGGCAACGAUGCUGAGCCGACCUGAGAGGGUGAUCGGCCACACUGGAACUGAGACACGGUCCAGACUCCUACGGGAGGCAGCAGUAGGGAAGCUUCCGCAAUGGGCGAAAGCUUGACGGAGCAACGCCGCGUGAGUGAUGAAGGUCUUCGGAUCGUAAAACUCUGUUAUUAGGGAAGAACAAAUGUGUAAGUAACUAUGCACGUCUUGACGGUACCUAAUCAGAAAGCCACGGCUAACUACGUG